CCUACGGGGGGCUGCAGUGGGGAAUAUUGGACAAUGGGGGGAACCCUGAUCCAGCCAUGCCGCGUGUGUGAAGAAGGCCCUCGGGUUGUAAAGCACUUUCAGUGAGGAAGAACGCCUGGUGGUUAAUACCCAUCAGGAAAGACAUCACUCACAGAAGAAGCACCGGCUAACUCCGUGCCAGCAGCCGCGGUAAUACGGAGGGUGCGAGCGUUAAUCGGAAUUACUGGGCGUAAAGCGCGCGUAGGUGGCUUGAUAAGCCGGUUGUGAAAGCCCCGGGCUCAACCUGGGAACGGCAUCCGGAACUGUCAAGCUAGAGUGCAGGAGAGGAAGGUAGAAUUCCCGGUGUAGCGGUGAAACGCGUAGAGAUCGGGAGGAAUACCAGUGGCGAAGGCGGCCUUCUGGACUGACACUGACACUGAGGUGCGAAAGCGUGGGUAGCAAACAGGAUUAGAUACCCGUGUAGUC
rnacentral:rRNA from 1 species